UUAAAAGGCGUAUUUUAUUAAUCAUUUCAACCGAAAUUUCGGCAGGGAGGAUACUUUGAAGUACCUCAUGUCAGAUUUCGAAGGGACUUUUUAUUUUCUUUUUUUUAGGUUAGUUUGUUUAUUAUUUUUUUAUUUUAUUUUUUUAAAAAAAAAAACAAAGAAGUGAAAGUCACGUGAGUGACUUCCUUCCUUUUCUUUUCUUUUCUUUUUUAUUUUUAUUUAUUUAUUUUAUGCAUUUUGUUUUUAUUUUAUUUAUUUAUUUAUUUAUUUGUUAAAAUCUUUUUCUCCAAGUCUCAGCUGCAGGGGCAUUUUGGUCAUUAAUAUGUACCAGAGCCAACCCUAGUUUGUCUCUAUAAAUACACUGUCAAUCAUUGGGAAAUGGGUCCGAAAAUCACUGUUCACGUCAGAAAAUCAGCAGCAAUUCACAAACCCUAAUUUUCCACUUUUCCAACCCUUUUUCAAAUCAAGCCCAAAAAUUACAAAGAAAAGAGUAUGAGUUUAGGAAGAACAUUCAUAGGUUCAUAGGAAAAUCCAGUAACACCAAAACUUUACUAAAACCUCAAAACUAUUCAUAUAACCACACAAAUCACAAACAAGCAAACCGAACCAGAACAGCAAGCAGGCCGAACCGGAGCAGAAGCGAACCGGACCAGCAAGGGGGCCGAACCGGAAGGAAAGCGGAACCGGACCGGAAAAGGGAGCAGAAACGAACCGGAAGGAAGGAAGGGGACCAGAAAAAGAGGUAAAAAUUUCACAUUUUCAUUUGUAGAUCUAGGAUUUUUGGUGCAUGUUUUCGAAAUUUUGAGCUUGGAUUCGAGUAGAGGAAGGGAAGAGGAGUAUUUUGAUGUAAAAAAAUUUCAAAAAAAAGGCAAAAAAAACUCCGGCGCGGCGGCGCUCCGGCCGACCACCGCGCCGGAGCAGCUCCGGCCGCCCCUCUUCAUCUUCUCCGGUCGCGUGUUUCUUUGAAGGAGGGGAGAGCUUCUCUCUCUAAGUUUAACUUAGAGAGAGAAGUGUUUUAGUUUUAUGUUAUUUUUUUGUUAAAAUUGCUUUUAUAGUGCUUUCUUUUUUUGCUGGAUCAUACGUGCGCGUAUUCAUAAUCUUACGAUGUUCCAUCGCGUUAGUAGCCAUCAGAUCUGGAUCGUUCCUUGAUCUGACGGCUACCGUAUGAUCUGUUUUUAAAUCAAGUGUGUGUUUUUUCUGCGUGAGUGUGGUGUGG
rnacentral:lncRNA from 1 species